CAGACGCACGUCCACGAGCUUUGGACGCAGCAGCGCAGGCGGACGCUGUGAGAAGAUGCGACAGACUGUGACUCUCCGUCAGCUCGACGGCUCCCUCUCGUGGUGCGAAAGGGCAGAGCCGCCGCAAAGGGCCCGCUUUCAAACUCUGCCUCUCUCUGCUGGAUGUCAUGAGGUACUAACAGAGUAACACCGACAGCCGAGACGAUUACACUUGAUGGCGUGCAAGUGAACAGCAGCGGCGUUGCAUGAUGUGGUGAGACAAGUCACUCUCAGAUCAACCCGAGUGUGUGUCUGCAAGUGUUUAUUGUGGCGAGAUAUUACAGAAACAUCCCUUUAUCAGAAUGUUACGUUUGUGUGAGGGUGAAGUCGUGCUCAUGCUCUCAUGCAAAUGUGUAGAGUCCAGAUCAAGCAGUGGUGGAAGAAGUAGAAGUAAGAAUACAUAUAUAUAUAUAUGUAUAUAUAUAUAUAUAU
ensembl:lncRNA